CCUACGGGCGGCUGCAGUGGGGAAUAUUGGGCAAUGGGGGAAACCCUGACCCAGCAACGCCGCGUGAAGGAAGAAGGUUUUCGGAUUGUAAACUUCUGUCCUUGGUGAAGAGAAGAAGACGGUAGCCAAGGAGGAAGCCCCGGCUAACUACGUGCCAGCAGCCGCGGUAAUACGUAGGGGGCAAGCGUUGUCCGGAAUGAUUGGGCGUAAAGGGCGCGUAGGCGGCUUUAUAAGUCUGGAGUGAAAGUCCUCUUUUCAAGGGAGGAAUUGCUUUGGAAACUAUAGAGCUUGAGUGCAGGAGAGGUUAUCGGAAUUCCCGGUGUAGCGGUGAAAUGCGUAGAUAUCGGGAGGAACAUCGGUGGCGAAGGCGGGUAACUGGACUGCAACUGACGCUGAGGCGCGAAAGUGUGGGGAGCAAACAGGAUUAGAUACCCCGGUAGUC
rnacentral:rRNA from 1 species